rnacentral:rRNA from 1 species
AUUGAACGCUGGCGGCAGGCCUAACACAUGCAAGUCGAACGGUAACAGGAAGAAGCUUGCUUCUUUGCUGACGAGUGGCGGACGGGUGAGUAAUGUCUGGGAAACUGCCUGAUGGAGGGGGAUAACUACUGGAAACGGUAGCUAAUACCGCAUAACGUCGCAAGACCAAAAAGGGGGACCUUCGGGCCUCUUGCCAUCGGAUGUGCCCAGAUGGGAUUAGCUAGUAGGUGGGGUAACGGCUCACCUAGGCGACGAUCCCUAGCUGGUCUGAGAGGAUGACCAGCCACACUGGAACUGAGACACGGUCCAGACUCCUACGGGAGGCCGCAGUGGGGAAUAUUGCACAAUGGGCGCAAGCCUGAUGCAGCCAUGCCGCGUGUAUGAAGAAGGCCUUCGGGUUGUAAAGUACUUUCAGCGGGGAGGAAGGGAGUAAAGUUAAUACCUUUGCUCAUUGACGUUACCCGCAGAAGAAGCACCGGCUAACUCCGUG